GUAAUGCGAUAACUAGUGUGAAUUGCAGAAUUCCGUGAAUCAUCGAGUCUUUGAACGCACAUUGCGCCCCCUGGUAUUCCGGGGGGCAUGCCUGUCCGAGCGUCAUUGCUGCCCAUCAAGCACGGCUUGUGUGUUGGGUCGUCGUCCCCUCUCCGGGGGGGACGGGCCCCAAAGGCAGCGGCGGCACCGCGUCCGAUCCUCGAGCGUAUGGGGCUUUGUCACCCGCUCUGUAGGCCCGGCCGGCGCUUGCCGAACGCAAAUCAAUCUUUUUCCAGGUUGACCUCGGAUCAGGUAGGGAUACCCGCUGAACUUAAGC
rnacentral:misc_RNA from 1 species